CUCCGGUUUGAGGUCGCGGUACACAAUUCCGAGCAUGUGUAGAUAUUCGAGCGCAAGAAGAACCUCAGCAACGUAGAAUCUGCGACAAGAAGAUCGAAGCGAUGAAAUUAAAAAAGAAGCAUGUUCGGGAAAACAUCGCCCGGGCUGCUUCUGCCGGAGGACAUGAAGAUCGCCGCCUGG